GACGAACGCUGGCGGCGUGCUUAACACAUGCAAGUCGAGCGGAGCGGCGCACGGGUGAGUAACGCGUGAGUAACUGCCCCCCUCUCUGGGAUAACAGUUGGAAACGGCUGCUAAUACCGGAUAUUGGGGGAUGAAUCGGGUCAGAUCAGCUUGUUGGUUGGGUAGUGGCCUACCAAGGCGACGCAGGGUACCCGGCCUGAGAGGGCGACCGGCAACAGUGGGCUGAGAGACGGCCCAAACUCCUACGGGAGGCAGCAGUGGGGAAUAUUGCACAAUGGGGGAAACCCUGAUGCAGCAACGCGCGUGCGGGAUGACGGCCUUCGGGUUGUAAACCGCUUUCAGCCAUGACUCGGUAGUGGCAGAAGAAGCACCGGCUAACUCCGUGCCAGCAGCCGCGGUAAUAC
rnacentral:rRNA from 1 species